UAGGGAAUAUUGGGCAAUGGCCGAGAGGCUGACCCAGCCAUGCCGCGUGCAGGAUGAAGGCUUUCUGAGUCGUAAACUGCUUUUAUCAGGGAAGAAUAAGGCGUGUGCGCACGCUGAUGACGGUACCUGAGGAAUAAGCACCGGCUAACUCCGUGCCAGCAGCCGCGGUAAUACGGAGGGUGCAAGCGUUGUCCGGAUUUAUUGGGUUUAAAGGGUGCGUAGGCGGCUUUUUAAGUCUGGGGUGAAAGCCCGUUGCUCAACAACGGAACGGCCCUGGAAACUGGAGAGCUUGAGUACAGACGAGGGUGGCGGAAUGGAUACUGUAGCGGUGAAAUGCAUAGAUAGUAUCCAGAACCCCGAUUGCGAAGGCAGCUGCCUAGACUGUAACUGACGCUGAGGCACGAAAGCGUGGGGAGCGAACA
rnacentral:rRNA from 1 species